GAUGAACGCUAGCUACAGGCUUAACACAUGCAAGUCGAGGGGAAACGGCAUCGUAAGCUUGCUUUUGAUGGUCGUCGACCUGCGCACGGGUGAGUAACUCGUAUCCAACCUGCCCAUCACUUGGGAAUAACCUUGCGAAAGUAAGACUAAUACCCAAUUACAUCCCACUAAGACAUCUGAAUUGGAUUAAAGUUUUAUCUGUUAUGGAUGGGGAUGCGUCUGAUUAGCUUGUUGGCGAGGUAACGGCCCACCAAGGCAACGAUCAGUAGGGGUUCUGAGAGGAAGGAAAACAAAAAGGGAAAUAAGAAAAGGACGAAAGUGCUAAGGGAGGGAGGAGAGAGGAAGAUUGGGGAAGGGGAGAGAGCAUGAAACAGCCAAGUAGCGUGAAGGAUGACGGCGAUAUGGGUUGUAAACUGCUUUUAUAAGGGAAUAAAGUGGGUAGAGGGAGACUUUUUGAAGGUACCUUAUGAAUAAGGACCGGCUAAUUCCGUG
rnacentral:rRNA from 1 species